rnacentral:rRNA from 1 species
GAUGAACGCUGGCGGCGUGCCUAAUACAUGCAAGUCGAGCGAACAGAUAAGGAGCUUGCUCCUUUGACGUUAGCGGCGGACGGGUGAGUAACACGUGGGUAACCUACCUAUAAGACUGGGAUAACUUCGGGAAACCGGAGCUAAUACCGGAUAAUAUUUCGAACCGCAUGGUUCGGUAGUGGAAGAUGGUUUUGCUAUCACUUAUAGAUGGACCCGCGCCGUAUUAGCUAGUUGGUAAGGUAACGGCUUACCAAGGCGACGAUACGUAGCCGACCUGAGAGGGUGAUCGGCCACACUGGAACUGAGACACGGUCCAGACUCCUACGGGAGGCAGCAGUAGGGAAUCUUCCGCAAUGGGCGAAAGCCUGACGGAGCAACGCCGCGUGAGUGAUGAAGGUCUUCGGAUCGUAAAACUCUGUUAUUAGGGAAGAACAUACGUGUAAGUAACUGUGCACGUCUUGACGGUACCUAAUCAGAAAGCCACGGCUAACUACGUG